rnacentral:rRNA from 1 species
GAUGAACGCUGGCGGCGUGCCUAAUACAUGCAAGUCGAGCGAACAGGCGAGGAGCUUGCUCCUCUGACGUUAGCGGCGGACGGGUGAGUAACACGUGUAUAACCUACCUAUCAGACUGGGAUAACUUCGGGAAACCGGAGCUAAUACCGGAUAAUAUCUUGAACCGCAUGGUUCAAUAGUGAAAUACGGUUUUGCUGUCACUUAUAGAUGGAUCCGCGCCGCAUUAGCUAGUUGGUAAGGUAACGGCUUACCAAGGCAACGAUGCGUAGCCGACCUGAGAGGGUGAUCGGCCACACUGGAACUGAGACACGGUCCAGACUCCUACGGGAGGCAGCAGUAGGGAAUCGUCCGCAAUGGGCGAAAGCCUGACGGAGCAACGCCGCGUGAGUGAUGAAGGUCUUCGGAUCGUAAAACUCUGUUAUUAGGGAAGAACAAAUGUGUAAGUAACUAUGCACGUCUUGACGGUACCUAAUCAGAAAGCCACGGCUAACUACGUG